CCUACGGGUGGCAGCAGUGGGGAAUAUUGCGCAAUGGGCGAAAGCCUGACGCAGCGACGCCGCGUGAGGGAUGAAGGUCUUCGGAUUGUAAACCUCUGUCAGCAGGGAAGAAAGGUCCCUGUGCUACUCAGCAGUGAAUUGACGGUACCUGCAAAGGAAGCACCGGCUAACUCCGUGCCAGCAGCCGCGGUAAUACGGCGGGUGCGAGCGUUAAUCGGAUUUACUGGGCGUAAAGGGCUCGUAGGCGGUAUGUCAAGUCAAGGGUGAAAUCCCCGGGCUCAAAGUUGGAACUGCCUUUGAAACUGGCAAACUAGAGUGUGUGAGAGGUAAGCGGAAUUCCUGGUGUAGCAGUGAAAUGCGUAGAUAUCAGGAGGAACAGCGGUGGCGAAGGCGGCUUACUGGCACAUAACUGACGCUGAGGAGCGAAAGCGUGGGUAGCAAACAGGAUUAGAUACCCUAGUAGUC
rnacentral:rRNA from 1 species